UUACGGUCAUUACUCAUGACCUCAGUUGUGGCGGUAAAACAGUCAUACUGAUGCAGGUACCUUUUGCAUAUGGUCGCAUGCGGUUGGACACAUGGAGGAGAGAAUCAUUUUCGCAGUAUCCUCAAAAGUGUAUUUUUGACACAACUGCUGACAGCUACUGGGACAUAAACACAAAAAAUGCUGCUUGGAGACAAGUGUCCACGAUAGUAGGAUUGCCAGAAGACUGUAGGAGGAAGUGGAGAGGACUCAGGGACAGGUAUCAGAGAGAGAGAAGGGCAGAGAAAGAGAAGAAGAGGUCUGGGUCAGCAGCUUCAGGCCAGCAGCCUUGGAGCUUCUGCCACAUUCUUUCUUUUCUGGAUCCAUUUAUUGUGCCUAGGGCAACGAGUGACAAUUUUACAGCCAGACCCUCUACUACGUCAUCCACAAGUGUUGUCGCCACCGGUGCGUCAAGACCCUCAAUGUCAUCUACAAAUGCGACCAUCACCUCAUCACGAGUAUGACCACUACCGGUGCAGCCAUGGAAGAUGAUGAAAUGGAGGAAGCACCUCUGGCUCUAGGACCACCUGAGAUUAUUAUGAACCUCACGGAAGUGACCACUGAGGACCUCGUUGAACAGGAUGUGGCCGUGGAGAGAAACAGAGAGAGAAACAAAGAGGAACAACGUCACACCAGGCACCAUCGGAGGUACCAGCCCCCAGGUCCACUCAACUCAUUUCAGCAGAGGCUCCUCCAAGCCGUCGAGAGAGAUGCAGCCCAACCUGAUGCUCACAGGAAGGAGGAGGAAGAGACCCUCUUUGCCAUGAGCCUGGUGCCAACACAGAAGAGGCUGCCUCAGCAAAGAAAAGGUUCAAAUGUAUCAGCUGCUUUUCGAAGCCGAGUUCAAUGAAAUGGAGUCAAUUUAGCUGACCAGCUCACAGGAAGGACAGGAAGAGGAGAGGAGUUGUCUGGUUGUUGUUUUGACCUCCCUCAUUGUACCUUUCUUUUCACACACGUCAGUUCCGUUUAAAUUCAGUCAAUUCAUAAAGUAAUUUGUUUAUAAAGUCUUAGGAUAGCAUUCAUUAUUAGUGUUACAUAGAUUUCUAAAUUGAAACUCAUACUGAGUUUUCACAGAUGCUCUUGGUUUCUUACGAGACUAAAGGUCAAUAUAUUUCUUUAAUUUAAAACCACUUGAAAACCAGGGUGUUGAAACAUUUUGUGAAGUUAUGUUCCAUUGACUGGUCCGUGACGUCCAGGGGCCAUUUGUUUGUUUAGCUGUGUUAUGGCUACAUAUUAUUCCCUUUUUUUCAGACACACACACACCUCAGAUCUCCAGUGCCCUGCCCUCUCUCUCUUUAUGGCCAUGUCUGAAGUUCCCCUACUACGUCUACUCUUUAUGAGUAGUCCCUGUAUCGGUCUGCAGUUGUGCCAAAAAUACAUGCUCUUGCUGUUCUCUUACAGAUUACAGGCUACACAUUCAU